rnacentral:rRNA from 1 species
UACGUAGGGUGCGAGCGUUAAUCGGAUUUACUGGGCGUAAAGCGUGCGCAGGCGGCCCGUUAAGACAGGUGUGAAAUCCCUGGGCUCAACCUAGGAAUUGCGCUUGUGACUGGCGGGCUCGAGUACGGUAGAGGGGGGUGGAAUUCCUGGUGUAGCAGUGAAAUGCGUAGAGAUCAGGAGGAACACCGAUGGCGAAGGCAGCCCCCUGGGCCUGUACUGACGCUCAUGCACGCAAGCGUGGGGAGCAAACAGG